GAUGAACGCUAGCGAUAGGCUUAACACAUGCAAGUCGAGGGGCAGCAUUAUUUUAGCUUGCUAAGAUAGAUGGCGACCGGCGCACGGGUGCGUAACGCGUAUGCAACCUGCCUGUAAUUAGGGAAUAACCCGGUGAAAGUCGGACUAAUACCCUAUAUUCUUCUUUCUCCGCAUGGGGAAGGACGGAAAGAUUUAUUGAUUACAGAUGGGCAUGCGUCCCAUUAGCUUGUUGGUAAGGUAACGGCUUACCAAGGCAACGAUGGGUAGGGGGACUGAGAGGUUGACCCCCCACACUGGUACUGAGACACGGACCAGACUCCUACGGGAGGCAGCAGUGAGGAAUAUUGGUCAAUGGGCGAGAGCCUGAACCAGCCAAGUCGCGUGAAGGACGACGGUUCUAUGGAUUGUAAACUUCUUUUGUAGAGGAAUAAAUGGCAAGGCUACGUGUAAGGCUGAAGGGGCCA
rnacentral:rRNA from 1 species